GUACCACCUAUAAUCGUUUUAAUCGAUGGGGGGACGCAGUAGGAUAGGCGAAGCGUGCGAUUGGAUUGCACGUCUAAGCAGUAAGGCUGAGUAUUAGGCAAAUCCGGUACUCGUUAAGGCUGAGCUGUGAUGGGGAGAAGACAUUGAGUCUUCGAGUCGUUGAUUUCACACUGCCGAGAAAAGCCUCUAGAUAGAAAAUAGGUGCCCGUACCGCAAACCGACACAGGUAGUCAAGAUGAGAAUUCUAAGGUGAGCGAGCGAACUCUCGUUAAGGAACUCGGCAAAAUGACCCC
rnacentral:rRNA from 1 species